AGGAGCGCCCCCGCCCCGCCCAGGCGAGAGCCAGCGAGAGAUCAAAGCGAAACUUGGAGAAAUUGACUCUCUUUUUUUGGGACAACAAGCUCCAGAAUCCCCGAGCCUCUGAAUAUUUGGGAGGUACAAGCAGAAGGAGAAAACUCACCGUUCUGAAUGGUCUUUUACAUCUGCAAUUGUUCUUCUGUCUCCCUUGCCAGCCUUUCUGUCUGGCUGUCUGAUUCAUGGAAAAUCCCCGCCUGAAGAACUGGCAGAAGUUCCAUUGCUGGAAUGCCUUGAAAAAUGAAACUACGCUGUACUGUAGAGACAGCUCAAGACUUCCACAUCAUCCCUCUCCUGCUGCUCAUUUCCAUGUUCAUCUUCUGUAUGGCACUUAGUGGUAUCAUGGUAAAUUUGAAGAUCCCCAUCAUUACAGUCUCCACAGCUGAUGGUGCCCCCAUUUCCCAUAAGAAAAGUCUUAAAAUGCAGGCAGUUGAAUUGGAUCAACAAAUAGGGAAUAGAUAUUUUGUAAAGGUAAUAGCUUUUAAUUGCCCAUUCAGGGUGAAAUCACAUUCAAAUACUUUGCAUUUCAACAGGAACAGCCUGCACCUGUAUAUUGUUCCUGUGCAAAUCAUUUUCUUUCCCAGUUGCUGUGAGAAUUGCAGUAAACUCCCAAGCAAGCAGAGAAGCCUAAAGUGGGGGUGGGUUGGGUGAGUAGUGGAUGAUGCCAUCACAGAAAAUCUUAGGGCUUUGAUCCUACAAGUCCUGGCUCCUAUACAUCACAGAUGGUCGUAUAAAAUUAUGCAAAGCAUGUAUUUUUGCCAAUAAGCUCUGCUUCCUUAUGCCAGGUUCUCCACCCCAUUCCUAUUCUCAUUGGGAAACACAAGCCAGGGAGAAACCUGUGCAACCCCAGGUGGAAAAUAACAGAGGCAUUCUCCAUGCCUCUCUCUGCAUGGAGAAGGGGAAAUAAAGGAAAGGGGUGUGGCCAAAUGAAGAAGAUAAAUGGGUAAAACUUGGUAGACACACACAGAGAGAGGACUAAAUCUGAAAUGACUGGAAGUCUACUUCUGGUUUUGCAAAAUGUGUAUUUUUUUUUUACAGUGUUAAAUUAUUGGAGUGGGGUGAUUGGCGUGUUGCAACCUAUUUAAAUGGUGAAUUACUGCUCCUGUAACAAUAGUACAUUUUUUUUUACUGGCAGUGAAGUUAGGUCUACAAAAACAGCCUUAAGGACGUGCCUGUGGCCCCAGAGCCAUAAAUUGAGCCGCCUUACCUUGUCAGCCGCCCAGAAUGGUGCUCUGUCACUGGAUGGGUAGGAUAAAAAUGCAGUCAAUGAAGAUCAUUCAGGUCAAGCACUUAGAUAUAAUUGCCUCCUACUGGUCAAAAUGCAAAAGAGUCAAUUUCUGGAUUCGAUUGGAAGCAUGGAUCCAAAAUCUUUAAUGAAGGGGCAAGUGGGAGAUAACAUGUUCAACUGUUGUCCAAAAAACUAACAUUUCCAAGCUUUGUGUUCCAGGU